rnacentral:rRNA from 1 species
UACGAAAGGUGCAAGCGUUACUCGGAAUCACUGGGCGUAAAGCGCACGUAGGCGGACUCGUAGGUCAAUUGUGAAAUACCUGGGCUCAACCCAGGAACUGCAGUUGAAACCACUUGUCUUGAAUACCUGAGAGGGUGGGGGGAAUACCUGGUGGAGAAGUGAAAUUCGUAGAGAUCAGGUGGAACACCGGAGGCGAAGGCGCCUGCCUGGCAGUGUAUUGACGCUGAGGUGCGAAAGUGCGGGGAGCAAACAGG